CCGGCGCGCUCCCGCCGCCCCCGGGCCGGGCCCGGCCCCGCCGUGCGCGGACAGAGGAUCCCAACAAAGCGCGGAAAGAAACGCACAAAGCAUCAAACGGCAUCAGCGCCAAUAUUAGCGCUGAAAAUGGAAGAAGUCCUUGGGUUUAUGCCUCUCCCCUGCCCGGACCUGCGGGACCCUGCGGUGAGGACCUCGCUUACUUGGGACUCGGCUCUGUGCCUGGGUUCUGUAAAAGCUGGCUGCUGCUUUUAGGAGUUGCAAGGACCAAAGUUCCUGCUACAACAGAGUUUACACAUCAAGCUGAGCCAUACAUGGGCCUCAUGGACAACUGCUACAAAGACUUAACAAAGACAAAAAACAAUCCACAUGCAUCUUCUUAUUCUUCUGAAGAUACAAACAGGUACUGUAAGCCAUAGCAUGUUGCAAGUCACAAAAAUCACAAUAGCUAUGUUUUUCUUGUAAGUUUGCUUAAAAUAUUACUAAAGGAGUCUCUGUGUGGUGCUCAGUAAAAACAAUUGGUACAGUGAAAAACAAAAGGUACAGUGAAACAAUGGCCUUUAAGAUUACUUAAGACUGUUUCAGAAAGACAGUUGUGACUGACAGGUUUUUAAAAUAAUGUUUCAAACUGUAAGAAAAUACACAAAAUGCACAGAACCAAAAUAUCUGCAAUGUUUUCUUUAACACUAAGGCUAACUUUUCUUUUCCUUCCAAUAUAUAAACUACAACUAAAUUGUGAAGUCACGAAUAUCUUUUAAAAGAGGACUUCCUAUCAAUCUAUGAAACUAAUUCUGGUUUGCAAUUCAAUAUGCUGCCAAAUAGCUUAUGUGCACAUAUAUGAUACACUACAAACAUUGAAAAUUAUUCUCAAAUACAGACUAACUCCUGAAAAGACAAUAUGUAAAAGAUGGGAACAAUUUCAUGAGAUAUAAAUUAAAAUGCUUGCCUUCACAGUAAGAUAUCAAGGGAAGAAAAAACCCAAGUAUAAACACAAGCCAAAUAAUCCACACAAAAGAAAACCUGCCACAUUUAUGAAAGAAAAAUUACACAGCUUUCAAAAACGUAAGACUUGUCAUCUUUUCUCACCUAACAUUGCUAGUUUCAUUUAUCAAACUUACUCAAAUCAGCAUUAGAAUUCUCAGUCUCAUCCUAGAAACCCACUAAUUUAUAUUUAUUAGCCUUUAGAGUUCCCAAAUCCAAUCCACUCAACACCUGACAAUAGACACUCUCUUCAAAAUCCAUGUAACCAGCAACUUGAGCAAAUUUUUUUUAAGCUGAUAAUGAACAGAGAAAACAACACCUCUCCAGAUGCAGGAGGCUGUUAGGUAGGAAAAGUGCUGGAAAUUAUUUUGAUCUAUAUAUUAAAAUUAACAUAAUAGCUAAAAGAAACUAGAAAACCUGAGUGCACAAAGCACACUGACAUCUGGACAAAAGCUACAUGAAUUCCAAAGGUAAUUCAGAUUCUCUGGCUUUGAAGCCAUACUACUGGUUAACACCUUUACAAGUUCUGCUUCUCUUUCAGUAAUAACACUUCACUAACACUUCAUAAAGUGUAUGAUUUUCUAAAAAAUGUCUCAAGAUAGAGUGCUGUUUUGGAAGUUUUAGAGGCAAAAGUAUGUUUGAAGCCACUCAAAAGUUUAGAGUUUGGAUAAUAGUGUCAGUCAAAACAGGUUAGUGGUUACUGGAGCCAAGGGACAGUCUUGCAUCGAGCCCACUUGCACUCUCUUCUCAUUUGAGGUUACAGUUCCAUGCACAAUUAUUUUGCCUCUACUGCAGAAAAUGAUGCCUCCUACUCCUUUCUCACAUAAUCCCAGGAUGGCUGAGGUUGGAAGGGACAUCUGGAAAUGGUGUAGUUCAACCCCCCUGCUAAGGCAGGGUCACCUAGAACAGGUUGCACAGGAUCAUGCCCAGAUGGUUCUUGAAUA